GACGAACGCUGGCGGCGUGCCUAAUACAUGCAAGUAGAACGCUGAAGGAGGAGCUUGCUUCUCUGGAUGAGUUGCGAACGGGUGAGUAACGCGUAGGUAACCUGCCUGGUAGCGGGGGAUAACUAUUGGAAACGAUAGCUAAUACCGCAUAGUAGCAGUUGUUGCAUGAUAACUGUUUGAAAGGUGCAAUUGCACCACUACCAGAUGGACCUGCGUUGUAUUAGCUAGUUGGUGGGGUAACGGCUCACCAAGGCGACGAUACAUAGCCGACCUGAGAGGGUGAUCGGCCACACUGGGACUGAGACACGGCCCAGACUCCUACGGGAGGCAGCAGGAGGGAAUCUUCGGCAAGGGACGGAAGUCUGACCGAGCAACGCCGCGUGAGUGAAGAAGGUUUUCGGAUCGUAAAGCUCUGUUGUAAGAGAAGAACGAGUGUGAGAGUGGAAAGUUCACACUGUGACGGUAUCUUACCAGAAAGGGACGGCUAACUACGUG
rnacentral:rRNA from 1 species